GUGCUCGCUGCGGCAGCACACACUCUAAAAUCGGAAGGAUACAGAGAUCAGCAUGGCCCUGCACGAGGAUGACAUGCAAAUUCAGGAAGCGUUCCGUAUUUUU